rnacentral:rRNA from 1 species
UACAGGGGGUGCAAACGUUGCUCGGAAUUAUUGGGCGUAAAGCGCGCGUAGGCGGCUACUUAAGUCGGAUGUGAAAUCCCAUGGCUCAACCAUGGACGUGCAUUCGAAACUGCGAAGCUUGAGUAUGGAAGAGGGUCGCGGAAUUCCCGGUGUAGAGGUGAAAUUCGUAGAUAUCGGGAGGAACACCAGUGGCGAAGGCGGCGACCUGGGCCAAUACUGACGCUGAGGUGCGAAAGCGUGGGGAGCAAACAGG